GGGCAGAGGAUCCUCCUCCAGUCGCCACUGCUGCUGCCUUCUGCUCUCUUGUCACACUGUGGAAAGGGCAGGAGUGAAUCUGUGAAGCAUUUUGCAAAGCACUGAAGGAGCAUGGAGGGAAUGGCUGAGAGUCCCUGCCAGGCCCAUCUCUACGAACUUGCCUCCUCUGCUGUUUUCCUUGGCUGGGUCACUAGAGCCAUUACUCCAUAGAUACAUGCACCAUGGCAGCUAAGAGGAAAUGUCCAGUUUAACAUCAGACAACAUCCAAAGCCACCAAGGAAGCUGCAGAUCCUCUCCUGUCUUCAAAGGGCACCAUACUGCUCAGUCUUCAUUUGCAAACAGCAGCUGAGCUCCUGCACUGAGGAUGUCUUGUAAUCAGCCCCUCAGGCACUACACCUCAUCACCUCAGCUCCACCUUGCAGUGUGUAAUUACAGGUGCUUUGUUUUCAUCAUCAUGACUGCAGCUGAAUUACAACAGCAGGAACAGAGUUGGAAGGGUUUGCUGUGUGCAGUGAGCCAUGCUCAGAGUGGUGGAGUCAUUUAGGCUGCCAGGGACCUGAUGCUUCUUCUUGUCCAGAUGC